CUCCUGGGCUGUCACUUCUCCGUGGGGGGCACCGUGGACAUGGAGGUGCUGGUGGUGCAGUGGAACCUGGGGGGCCGCCUGGUGGCCGAGUUCGAUAGCACCCUGUCGUACCACAGGGCCGGGGCCAGCCUGUCCCUGGAGGGGCUGCGGGUCGGCAACGCCUCCCUGCUCCUCCCGCGGGUGGGGGGCGCCGACUCCGGGCUCUACACCUGCAUGGUCAUCCACUCCCCGAGCCGGGAGAGUCGGCAGGUGGAGCUGCGCGUGGAAGCCCCGCCCCAUGUCUCGGUGAGCGGCACCGUGGUGAGGGCCCGCGAGCAGAGCAACGUGACCUGCAUCGUGAGCGGCUUCUACCCCGGGAGCGUGAACGUCGUGUGGCUGCGGGACGAUAAGGUCAUGGGGGUCCCCGAGACGCCUCCCGCCCAGCUGGGCCCCGACGGCCUGUACAGCAUGACCAGCAUCCUCCGGCUGGUGCCCAACAUCUCCGACGCCGAUGCCAACUACUCCUGCCGCGUGCAGCACGUCGCCCUGGGGGCGCCGAUCCAGGAGCCCUUCCGGCUGAGCGUAUUGUCCCGGCCCUCCCUGACCCUGCAGACGGUGGUGACGCCGGAGGGGCUGGGCGCCCUGCAGGUCCAGGUGAGUGGCUACUACCCCCCCGACAUCACGGUGGAAUGGCUGCGGGACGGGGCGAUCCUGCCCUCCAUUGAGUCGCUCCCCACACGGGAACCGGACGGGUCCUUCACCCUCCGCAGUUGCUACAUCCUCGACCGCCCAGAGCCCGACACCCGGGUCGCCUUCACCUGCCGCGUGCAGCACCCGGCGCUGCCCACCCCGCUGGAGCAGAGAGUCACCUGGAAAGAGACAGACGUUAUAAGUCAAGACAGAACCCCGAACAAAGGACCCGAACCAAGCCCAACUCUGGUCUGGAUGUGGUUAUGGCUGGCCAUGGUGCCCCCACUGCUCGUGGUCUUGCUGUGCAUCGGGUACCGGAGCUAUCGCAUCAGCAUGUCCUCGAUCCGUGUCUGGGAGUGUUGGCCGGAGGGCAGCGUGACAGCGCUGCUCUGCGAGGCGGAGGGGAGGCUCCGCGCCAGAGACAGCCUGACCUGGGCAAGCCUGCCCCAGGGGAAGGAGCUGGGGCCUGGGCAGCCCAGGGAGCUGAGCACGCUGAUGCCGAAGCCGGAGCAGCACCGCAUGGUGACGUGGCGGCGCAACCUUGGGCUGGGCAGGCGGCGGCUCACGUCGGUCCUCACCAUCCAGACCCCGCGCAACAAAGACACUUUCAGCUGCACGUUCCAAGGCGCGAGGGGCAUGAAGCAGACACACAUCACAAUCCCCGGCGUGGCGGCAGGUGGCCCGCUUCUGGAUGGAGACAUGGCCAUUUUUUGACCGUCCUGCACUCACGCCACGGCCGGUGCUGGGGAGAGAGAGAGCCAGCUGCAAACUGCUCGUAGAGGAGAGAACAAACUGACCCCUUGUGAUGCUGUGUGAUUGACAUGUGACUGUGUAUAGCAUUGGUGUGGCCACUGUGCUACAACUGCAAGAGAACUUGUACCAAAUAUUAGUUACUAAAGAGUUCGAUUCUGCCCAGAGGGAGGCAGCUGCAGGAAGACGGACGGAGGGCUGGAUGAGCUGGGGAACAAAGGACGGAGGAGGGGCCAGGCAGGGUUGUUAAGUGUGGGCUGCUGGAAGAUGGAGACUCUCGUCAGAGUGCGCUGGGCUGAGCAAGCAGGACCCUGCUGUAACGUUGUGUUCUCUGUUUGCCAACCAAGCCGUUCUGUGCCGUGUCCCAGACAGCUAAUAAACCCGACUGCUCUCACCCCGGAAGUUUCGGUUCCUAACAGCCAGAAAUUUUCUGUGGUGAAUGGAGCCACUGACUUUCCUUGUGAAAGAUCCAGUGUGGGUAGCUUAGAGAAGGUCUCAGAUGGAGUGAAAGCUGUUAAGGAAUUUAAACAGCCCUAUGACCAAGUGGCUGUGCUUGGCCAGCUUGUUGGGGAGACAAGGGUGUUGGGACAGGAAGGUCUCCAGGCUGAUUCUGGGAGUGACCAGUCGGUGGCUCGGGUUCAGAGGGAAGACGGGGUAGCUGACUCUGCAGAGCAGGACAGCUGGGCAGUGAAUCUGUGGAGAGUUUACCUGCCACCCCUGCGUUCUCAUCGCUAGAUACUUGGGCUAUGACUUGUCGUCUCUCAGUGAACUGAACAUCUGAAACCCUGAGCCACAAGGAUUGAGAUCCCCAGUCACUGACUGGGGUCACCCUGAAUAUGGACAUUGGACCAUAACCUGGACCUGGAAAAGUGGCAGAACAACCUUUUGCCUUCACGUCAGUUGGGUACAUAGUGCUGACAACUUCCGCUGGCAACAUGGACCAUGGGGAAGCAAGGCGAAAACACUGGAGGCAAAAUCCUGGGAUUCUUGUUCUAAAACUUGUAAAACAGACAUACUAAUAAAUUGUUCAAAUGGAGAAAAACAA